CGUCUAUAUACGUAUAGCAUAUCAAUAAGCGGAGGAAAAGAAACUAACUAGGAUUCCCUAGUAACGGCGAGUGAAGCGGGAAGAGCUCAAAUUUGAAAUCUUCAAGGUUUCCCUUGACGAAUUGUAGUUUAAAGAAGUGUUUUCUGUUAGAGAGUUGGUAAAAGUUCUUUGGAAUAGGACAUCAUAGAGGGUGAGAAUCCCGUAUUUGAUCACUUUCUACUAGCUGUUGUGAUACACUUUCAAAGAGUCGGAUUGUUUGGGAAUGCAGUCCAAAAUGGGUGGUAAAUUUCAUCUAAAGCUAAAUAUUGGCGAGAGACCGAUAGCGAACAAGUACCGUGAGGGAAAGAUGAAAAGAACUUUGAAAAGAGAGUUAAACAGUACGUGAAAUUGUCAAAAGGGAAGCGUUUGACAUCAGUGUUGUUUUUCUCGAAAAUCAAUUAAAAUGACCGGAUUUGUAGUUGUCAUGACCUUAUAAGCUUUUCUGCACUUUUUUCUUGUCUUUCUUAAUGCACUUUUCGGUUAACAAGUCAACAUCAAUUUCUUUUGUUGUAAAAGGUUAAGAGGAAGGUGGCUUUACUUUCGGGUAAAGUGUUUAUAGCCUUUUAACUCUGCAAUCGGAGAGAUUGAGGUCUGCAGCGUAGAUCCUUCGGGGCUAGAUACGUUUGUGCUAAGUUAUAGCUUUUCAUAGACAACUUGUUGACUAUGUUUAGUCUUGUAGCUUACUCGCAUGCGCUAUUUUACCUACGCUUAGGAUGUUGAUAUGCAUGACUGAUAU
rnacentral:rRNA from 1 species